AAUCAUAGCUCAGGAUGAACGCUGGCGGCGUGCCUAACACAUGCAAGUCGAACGGAGCUGCUUUGAUGAGAUCUUCGGAUGGAUUUAAAACAGCUUAGUGGCGGACGGGUGAGUAACGCGUGGGUAACCUGCCUCACACUGGGGGAUAACAGUUAGAAAUAGCUGCUAAUACCGCAUAAGCGCACGGUUCCGCAUGGAACAGUGUGAAAAACUCCGGUGGUGUGAGAUGGACCCGCGU
rnacentral:rRNA from 1 species